GAUGAACGCUAGCUACAGGCCUAAUACAUGCAAGUCGAGGGACCGGCGCACGGGUGAGUAACACGUAUCCAACCUGCCCUUUACUCGGGGUUAGCGUUUCGAUAGAUAGAUCAAUACCCGAUCUAAUGCACGGGGAUGCGUUCCAUUAGGUUGUGGGUAAGGUAACAGCUCACCAAGCCUUCGAUGGAUAGGGGUACUGAGAGGAAGGGCCCCCAGAUUGGAACUAAGAGACGGACCAAACUCGUAGGGGAGGGAGGAGUGAAGAAUAUUGGUGGAUGGGCGCUAGCCUGAACCAGCCAAGUAGGGUAAAGGAUGAAGGCUUAUGGGUCGUAAACUUCUGUUGUGUAAGGAUAUUUAUUAGAUGAAGAAGGAUCGGCUAACUCCGUGCCAGCAGCCGCGGUAAUAC
rnacentral:rRNA from 1 species